rnacentral:ncRNA from 1 species
CGGAACCUUGUCGAUGAGAUAUCCCUUUGCGUUAUGCGUUGUUGUUGCGGGUUGUGAUGUGUUCUUUGCCUCUUCUCGAGCGAGAGCUGAUACAUGCAAUAGCAUUGACGUUAUGCAGGUCUGCAGAGCAAGGACAGGUGGUGUUGAUUCGAAGAUGUAUAGGUACAUCUGAUCUGAGUUCGUUCGGGGCGCGGACGCCCUCGGCAGGCCUCUGACCGUCCGGCACGCGCUUAACGACCAGCUUAGAACUGGUACGGACAAGGGGAAUCUGACUGUCUAGUUAAAACAUAGUGUUGCGAUGACCAGAAAGUGGUGUUGAUGUAAUGUGAUUUCUGCCUAGUGCUCUGAAUGUUAAAGUGAAGAAAUUUAACCAAGUGCGGGUAAACAGCAGGAGUAACUAUGACUCUUAAGGUACGGAGUACCUAGCUAUGUAUCUAUCUACUAUCUACUAUCUAGUGAAACUACAGCCAGGGGAACGGGCUUAGUGGAAUUAGUAGGGAAAGAAGACCCUAUUGAGCUUGACUUUAGUUUAACAUGGUGAAAAGACAUAUUAGGUGUAGGAUAAGUAGGAGCUUCGGCGCCGGUAAAAUACCACUACCUAGGUACCUUUAUUAUUUUUUUUUACUUAUUCAAUAAUUGGCCUGUUCAUAGCGAUGUUGCUUUUUGAUCCUUUGAUGUCGGCUCUUCCUACCAUAGACGAGUCAUAUCUGUUGAUGUUAUGAUACAAGUUGGUGAUGUCUAGUUUGAUAUCUCCAUAGACACCAUAUCUCACUCUUUGCCAACACAUGGCAA